AAAUGGUGGAUUUUAUUUUGGUGAAUGGCUAUUAAAACGCCAAGUUUGCCAAAUUUAAUUCCCUCUAAAAUUUCCUGCUGUAAGUAAUGUUGCCCUAAGAGAUCCUUAAGCUACUUAUAAACUUUACAACCUGAUGGCACUAGCUAACUCAAUACUCUGGACCAAGUACAUGCAUUGUUUAUUAUUUAUUGUUGUUGUUGUUUACAGUUUAAUUGGACUCUGUACAUACUUGAAAGCUUCAAAGCAGCUCAAUUAGGAGACAUGCAUGUACAUGUACAUGUAGGGUCUGAUGAUAUUGUAAUUAAUGUGAGGACCCCUCGUACUUUAAAAACCUAUCACUAUUUAAUGUCAAUUAUAAUGAAACGUACAUGUAAGUAAUAAUAAUAAUAAUAAUAUUCUUAUUAUUAAUUUCUCCGAGUGUUCUUGAGAAUUAUUUCAAGUGGCACCUGGUCCUGCAGUACAUGUAUAUAGAGUACCUUGGCGACCAGUUCCUGUCUCCGUAUUACCAGUAUACCACCAGUGUACUGGGCAGUGGUAAGAGGGAGAGGUACAAUGUACUUAACUUGCAUCAGUUCACUGGAGGAUACUGACUAUGACUAUGACUGUAUACUGACUAUGUACUGGCACCUGGUGUGGAAGCGAGGUCCUCGAGAGUCUUAUAAUCAACACUGGCUCUAGAAAAAGUUAUUCUUUGUCUUAGGAAUGCUAUAUUUUUUUUUUCGGUGGAUAAAGAAGCUGGCAAAGUUGCCAAACGGAAUUAACUAUAAUAACUACUAAAAACAUGACAGAAAGAAGAAAACUACCAGAGGCCCUGAUAUCACUCGCCUGGUGUAGCUAUGCCACUGACUGAUGAAGAUUUUGAUGGACCUCUUGUUUAUUUCACUUCACAAUCUGGCUCAUCCACUCCAUCUUUUACUUGUUCCUUUUUAUCCUUCUCCCUCUCCUUCCUCCUCUUUGUCUGAUGGUUGGACAGCCUGGAGUUGGACUGAGGGACUAUAGCACUGUACAGGGAUAACUGCAGCUUUUAUCAAGGUGCAGGAAGAAUGAUCUAUUAAGACAAGGUGUAUGGAGGGAGGGUGACUAGAUUCAGCUAAACUGAAUGGUAUGUGAUUUAAUUCUCAUUCAUGAUCAAUGUACA